rfam:Ipomoea nil DNA, scaffold: scaffold3030, cultivar: Tokyo-kokei standard.
GACAUCAUGGCCCAAUGGAUAAGGCGCUUGUCUAUGAAAUCAUUGAUUUUAGGUUCGAUCCCCAGUGAAGUUG